rnacentral:rRNA from 1 species
GUGGGGAAUAUUGGACAAUGGGCGAAAGCCUGAUCCAGCCAUGCCGCGUGUGUGAAGAAGGUCUUCGGAUUGUAAAGCACUUUAAGUUGGGAGGAAGGGCAUUAACCUAAUACGUUAGUGUUUUGACGUUACCGACAGAAUAAGCACCGGCUAACUUCGUGCCAGCAGCCGCGGUAAUACGAAGGGUGCAAGCGUUAAUCGGAAUUACUGGGCGUAAAGCGCGCGUAGGUGGUUCAGUAAGUUGGAAGUGAAAUCCCCGGGCUCAACCUGGGAACUGCUUUCAAAACUGCUGAGCUAGAGUACGGUAGAGGGUGGUGGAAUUUCCUGUGUAGCGGUGAAAUGCGUAGAUAUAGGAAGGAACACCAGUGGCGAAGGCGACCACCUGGACUGAUACUGACACUGAGGUGCGAAAGCGUGGGGAGCAAACAGGAUUAGAAACCCUAGUAGUCC